GAAAUGAACUUUUGUUUUAAGAGCAAACGCUGCUUAUUGUGUGUCUCAAUGUGUGCAACGUGUGAACAAAUGUGCUGUUUGGGCUUCGGUUUGCUGCCAUUUGCGCUGUCAGGCCUCCAGGUAAAUGGAGGCAGGUGUGCGGACUGCCAUUAAUUGAUUGCAGGCAGGUGCGCUGAAUGGUAACAAGAUGGCGAGCGACUGCCCUGCUUGUCCUCAGCUAAGCGAGCGCCAUAGUUUGAUUUGCAAAUGUUUGUUAUUUGUACAUGUUUUCCACAGUAAUAUUGUGUUUGUUGGAUUUUUUCCCCCCACUCAAAGAACAGAAGAGCAUUUAAGGAAUUGGAGGGAUUGGCUUGGUUGAGCCCACAAGGGUGAUGAGGACACAACAGGUAUGCAGUUUCAAGAUAAACAUCUUGUUCCUUGAGCGGUCCAGAACAAAAGUGGAAAUAUUGUGCUGCUUAAAGAGCCAAGCACCAACUUUUCAAGGAGAGUAUAUCUAAGUGUUACUCUUAGUGUUUGUGUUCACUUCCUCACAAACUCACUGGGUGUGCA